UCUGGUGCGUCGGGGCAUGUCGGAUCCUGCUUGGGCAAGCGACGGCAUGCCGCACGUGCCUCCUCAGUCGGUGUCGGGUUCAAGCGCGCGCCCGCCUUGGCCGGUGUCGGUUUUCUGUGUAUCAUACCCGUCGCGAAGGCACUCCGUGUCCCAAAUGUCCCUUUUCCGUCAUGCGCCGCGCCCAUCUGAGGUCGCGGUGCGGGGCGGACCGUGAAGUACUCGCCGAGUUCCGCGUAUCGCGCGUCGUGAAAUAGCGUGUGUGCGUCGGCACCCGGCGAUGUGCUCGAUCUCUCGGAUGCGGAAUAUCGCGUGGGCACGUGGCCCCCGGCCACUAUAUGCCCCUAAACAAGCGUUUCACGCUUCGUGCGAACGACUGCUGCCCCCGUCUCGAUCGUGCCCCUUCGGCUCGCGUCGUGCGGUGUCNGCGUCCGUUAAGAA
rnacentral:misc_RNA from 1 species